AACGAACGCUGGCGGCAGGCCUAACACAUGCAAGUCGAACGCCCUAGCAAUAGGGAGUGGCAGACGGGUGAGUAACGCGUGGGAACGUGCCCUUCAGUUCGGGAUAAGCCGAGGAAACUUGGUCUAAUACCGGAUACGUGCGAGAGCAGAAAGAUUUAUCGCUGAAGGAUCGGCCCGCGUCCGAUUAGCUAGUUGGUGAGGUAACGGCUCACCAAGGCGACGAUCGGUAGCUGGUCUGAGAGGAUGAUCAGCCACACUGGGACUGAGACACGGCCCAGACUCCUACGGGAGGCAGCAGUGGGGAAUAUUGGACAAUGGGCGCAAGCCUGAUCCAGCCAUGCCGCGUGAGUGAUGAAGGCCCUAGGGUUGUAAAACUCUUUCGCCAGGGACGAUAAUGACGGUACCUGGAUAAGAAGCCCCGGCUAACUUCGUGCCAGCAGCCGCCGUAA
rnacentral:rRNA from 1 species